rnacentral:rRNA from 1 species
GAUGAACGCUGGCGGCGUGCUUAACACAUGCGAGUCGAACGAGAGAAGAUCGGUGCUUGCACUGAUCCGAUCGAGUGGCGGACGGGUGAGUAACGCGUGGGAAACCUGCCUCAUACAGGGGAAUAACAGUUGGAAACGGCUGCUAAAACCGCAUAAGCGCACAGUAUCGCAUGAUACAGUGUGAAAAACUCCGGUGGUAUGAGAUGGACCCGCGUCUGAUUAGCUAGUUGGUGAGGUAACGGCCCACCAAGGCAACGAUCAGUAGCCGGCCUGAGGGGGGGAACGGCCACAUUGGGACUGAGACACGGCCCAAACUCCUACGGGAGGCAGCAGUGGGGAAUUUUGCACAAUGGACGCAAGUCUGAUGCAGCGAUUCCGCGUGGAGGAUGAAGCAUUUCGGUGUGUAAACUCCUUUUCUGGUGGAAGACGAAUGACGGUACACCAGGAAUAAGAGACGGCUAACUACGUGCCAGCCGCCGCAGUAA